UUGCCCCAGUAACGGCGAGUGAAGCGGCAAGAGCUCAAAUUUGAAAGCUGGCUCCUUCGGGGUCCGCAUUGUAAUUUGCAGAGGAUGCUUCGGGAGCGGUCCCCAUCUAAGUUCCCUGGAACGGGACGUCAUAGAGGGUGAAAAUCCCGUAUGGGAUGGGGUGUCCGCGCCCGUGUGAAGCUCCUUCGACGAGUCGAGUUGUUUGGGAAUGCAGCUCUAAAUGGGUGGUAAAUUUCAUCUAAAGCUAAAUAUUGGCCGGAGACCGAUAGCGCACAAGUAGAGUGAUCGAAAGAUGAAAAGCACUUUGAAAAGAGAGUUAAAAAGCACGUGAAAUUGUUGAAAGGGAAGCGCUUGCGACCAGACUCGCUCGCGGGGUUCAGCCGGCAUUCGUGCCGGUGUACUUCCCCGCGGGCGGGCCAACGUCGGUUUGGGCGGUCGGUCAAAGGCCCUCGGAAGGUAACGCCCCCAGGGGCGUCUUAUAGCCCAGGGUGCGAUGCGACCUGCCUAGACCGAGGAACGCGCUUCGGCUCGGACGUUGGCAUAAUGGUCGUAAGCGACCCGUCUUGAAACACGGACCACGGAGUCUAACAUCUACGCGAGUGUUCGGGUGUCAAACCCGUGCGCGCAGUGAAAGCGAACGGAGGUGGGAACCCUUUGGGUGCACCAUCGACCGAUCCUGAUGUCUUCGGAUGGAUUUGAGUAAGAACAUAGCUGUUG
rnacentral:rRNA from 1 species